CAAAACCUGUAUACCAACACAGGACAGAGUCUGUGUUUGUAAAGCUGGGUUUUACAAGAAUAAUGGUCACUGUAAACCCUGUCCCAGCUGUCAAAACUGCACAGAAUGUAAGUACCAUUAAAGGAAGUUAAAUUUAUGGCCAAAGGAUACAAGUGAUACGUUCUGUUGUAAAUAAAAAAAAAAAAAUUAAAUAUCCUAAACACCUUGUGGCUAGGAAACUAACUGAAUAGUUUCUUUUUCCUUUUGUGUUACUCAGGUUUGAACUGUAAAGAGAAUUGUCUUCAACAAAUGACAAUUAAAACGACUAUUAAAACCACAACAGUAGUUUGUGGAAUUGGCAAUUUCUCGGAUGGUGGACAGUGCCAAAGCUGUGUUGAACGGAGACUGCUUUGCCGCCAAGCCAAAAUCUGGCAUGUUGGCAAACAUCCAAAAUUUCAGAUUCAACCAGGUUCAGACUUGCUAUACCUUUAAUGGGGCUUUGACUCAUUACAGAGUGAAGCGGCUUAGCAUUGUUUUGUUUCUGUUAAUUCUGUGGUUUGAGUUCUUUGUUCAAAUAGGAAAUGCACAUUGAUUUAGGAAAUCUGUAUGCUGUAAUAUUCGAGAUAAGUGAAUUUUGUCUUUGUUUCAGCAGAUCAACCUAAUGAUGUAAUCAGCAUUCCCAGAGCAAUGGAAAGAAAUGGAACCUCUAUCAAAACUUUACCAGUGACCAGCUACCCACACAACGUCCUCAGUGGAGAUUUACAGAGCAUCAUGGCCCCCCUGAUAGCAAACGGAAACCCAAAAUUGAUGCAGGUGUUGCAGAAGGAGUCCUGGCCAGCACCGGUGCUGUACACUGUCAUAAGAGAGAUUCCCGUGACGCGCUGGAAGGAAUUUUUGCGACUGCUUUCUGUGUCAGAUGAUCAGAUGGAACGGAUCGAACUGGAGGCAGGCCCAUCCUAUCUGGAAAAGCAGUAUCAUAUGCUACGUCUGUGGAGCCAGAGCAGUGGAGCGAAGAUGGAGAAUAUCUACUCGACAUUACACUACAUGAACCUGUCAGGCUGUGCCCAGGAACUGCAAGAGAAGCUAGAACAACUGCAAGCAAGCAUGAAAGCUCACUCAUCUUGACUCCAUCUCCUCAUGUGUGUGAGCUGCAGUUGCAUUUCACAAUCAUUUACAGUUAACUCUGAACAGCAGAUGCUCUUGUCUUCUGAACUUUUAACAGGAAACCCGCAGUCAUAGUUAAAAAAUUCUUCUUUGUGAAUUGUUUUAUUUAAGUAUAAUGUAAAAUAAAUGCAGGUCAUUAUGCAUAUCAUAGGUGCUUUGUAAUAACUGUUUAUAAUCCUUGUUCUUGGUUAUAUGAAUUAGCCUUUUGUCACUAUACUGUACAAAUGUGGAUUUUCAAAGAAUUGUUGACCAAUUCAAAGUUUGAACUUAAAUGUUUAAAUGUUAUCAUCCAUCAACUUAAGGAGAUAUCUAGUGGUUUUCAGGAUAAACGUAGCUGCUUAUUUGUUUCACGCUAAAGGUUAUUUUAAGUUCUCAGUCAUAUUGUACAUGGGCAUGUUUUAAAUAUUACUUUACACUCACUGUGUACACUUGUCACACCAGUAUAUAUUUGUUACUUUUCUUAAUAAAAAUGUAUGGAAUAUGUAUGGCUCUUAACAGCAUCAUGUAGUAAAAAAAAAAAGGAAAGCAUGACAGAG
ensembl:lncRNA